rnacentral:rRNA from 1 species
AACGUAGGAGACAAACGUUAUCCGGAGUUACUGGGCGUAAUGGGCGUGUAGGUGGUUGCGUAAGUCUGGCGUGAAAUAUCUCGGCUUAACCGAGGCAGGUCGUCGGAUACUGCGUAACUGGAGGACGGUAGAGGCGUGUGGAAUUCCGGGUGUAGUGGUGAAAUGCGUAGAGAUCCGGAGGAACACCAGUGGCGAAGGCGGGUCUCUGGGCCGAUACUGACGCUGAGGAGCGAAAGCGUGGGGAGCAAACAGG